AGUAGCCGCGGUAAUACGUAGGUGGCAGGCGUUGUCCGGAAUUAUUGGGCGUAAAGCGCGCGCAGGCGGAUCGGUCAGUCUGUCUUAAAAGUUCGGGGCUUAACCCCGUGAUGGGAUGGAAACUGCCAAUCUAGAGUAUCGGAGAGGAAAGUGGAAUUCCUAGUGUAGCGGUGAAAUGCGUAGAUAUUAGGAAGAACACCAGUGGCGAAGGCGACUUUCUGGACGAAAACUGACGCUGAGGCGCGAAAGCCAGGGGAGCGAACGGGAUUAGAUACCCCAGUAGUCCCUGUCUCUUAUACAC
rnacentral:rRNA from 1 species